UACGUAGGGGGCAAGCGUUGUCCGGAUUUAUUGGGCGUAAAGCGCGUGUAGGCGGCUUGGCAAGUCCGCUGUGAAAACUCGAGGCUCAACCUCGAGACGCCGAUGGAAACCAUUUGGCUAGAGUCCGGAAGAGGAGAGUGGAAUUCCUGGUGUAGCGGUGAAAUGCGCAGAUAUCAGGAAGAACACCCGUGGCUAAGGCGGCUCUCUAGUACGGUACUGACGCUGAGACGCGAAAGCGUGGGGAGCGAACAGG
rnacentral:rRNA from 1 species